CCUUUGAGGUGCUUCUUGUCGUGGGAGUUCUUUGGGUAUUUCCAGUCAUAGCAUCUGUAGCAGUAGACUUUUCCAACAACUUUAACGAUCAAGGAAUGAUGAGGAGGAUAGUAAGGAGUUGGGGGUGGUGGUGAAGUGUAGUAGUAAGGUGGAGGAGGUGACUUAACUGGUGGUGGAGGGGAGGAGUAGUAGUAAGGUGGAGGAGGUGACUUAACUGGUGGGGGAGGGGAGGAGUAGUAGUAAGGAGGAGGAGGUGACUUAACUGGUGGUGGAGGGGAAGAGUAGUAGUACGGUGGUGGAGGUGACUUAACUGGUGGUGGAGGAGAGGAGUAGUAGUACGGUGGAGGAGGUGACUUAACUGGUGGUGGAGGGGAGGAGUAGUAGUACGGUGGAGGAGGUGACUUAGCAGGUGGUGGUGGGGACUUGUAAUAGUAAGGUGGUGGGGGAGAGGGUGAAGGGGGUGGUGGUGAUUUAUAGUAGUAUGGUGGAGGUGGUGAUGGAGAAGGUGGUGGGGGAGACUUGUAAUAAUAAGGUGGAGGUGGUGAAGGUGAAGGUGGUGGCGGGGAUUUGUAGUAAUAUGGUGGUGGAGGUGAUGGUGAAGGAGGUGGUGGUGAUUUAUAUACAUAUGGUGGUGGUGGAGAUGGUGAUGGAGGUGGUGGCGACUUGUACACAUACGGCGGUGGAGGAGAUGGUGAAGGAGGAGGUGGCGACUUGUAAACGUAUGGAGGUGGUGGAGAUGGUGAAGGAGGUGGCGGUGAUUUAUACACAUAGGGUGGUGGUGGAGAUGGUGACGGUGGUGGUGGAGACUUGUACUCAUAAGGCGGUGGCGGAGAAGGAGAAGGAGGGGGUGGUGACUUGUAUUCGUAAGUUGGUGGUGGGGGAGAAGCAUAUACAUAAGGGUCAGCAGAAACAAUAUUAGCAACAGCCAAAAUGGCCAAUGCCACUAAGAUUUGUGGCACAUGACGACCCCGGCGGGGGUCGCCACCGUUAAGCCUCAUUGCUAGUCGGAAAAUUGCGACACCAACUC
rnacentral:lncRNA from 1 species